UUGAACCUUAUAAUAACAGCCUAAUAUAAAUCUUCCUGUAACAUGUAAAGAAAACAAUAAUAUACACACAAAAUCCAAGCCAAAUGUAAACAAAACAAUUUGUAGCAGCAAGUCGCCAUGUAUAUGUAUGAAUUACAUAACGACCAAAUUUUCCCAACUGCACAUCUUUAUGUAAAUCCAAGCAGCUUAUUCUAAAAUCAUGAAUUGAAAAAUCAUAACAACCACGACAGAUACACUACAGAACUUUCUCAAUACACAACAGCCUUUUACUAAUAAAACUAUGGCAUAUAACAAUGAAUCUCAUAGCAACCUAACCAAAACAACUAUAUGAUUAAAGCCAA
rnacentral:lncRNA from 1 species